UUGGAGGGCAAGUCUGGUGCCAGCAGCCGCGGUAAUUCCAGCUCCAAUAGCGUAUAUUAAAGUUGUUGCAGUUAAAAAGCUCGUAGUUGAAUUUCGGGGUCAGUAGGCUGGUCGUGCCACAGGUAUGUACUGGUCUCACUGAUUCCUCCUUCCUGAUGAACCGUAAUGCCAUUAAUUUGGUGUUGCGGGGAAACUGGACUGUUACUUUGAAAAAAUUAGAGUGUUUAAAGCAGGCUAACGCUUGAAUACAUUAGCAUGGAAUAAUGAAAUAGGACGAUCGAUCCUAUUUUGUUGGUUUCUAGGAUUGACGUAAUGAUUAAUAGGGAUAGUUGGGGGCAUUAGUAUUCAAUUGUCAGAGGUGAAAUUCUUGGAUUUAUUGAAGACUAACUACUGCGAAAGCAUUUGCCAAGGAUGUUUUCAUUAAUCAAGAACGAAAGUUAGGGGAUCGAAGACGAUCAGAUACCGUCGUAGUCUUAACCAUAAACUAUGCCGACUAGGGAUCGGAUGAUGUUAAUUUUUUAAUGACUCAUUCGGCGCCUUACGGGAAA
rnacentral:rRNA from 1 species